GACGAACGCUGGCGGCGUGCUUAACACAUGCAAGUCGAGCGGUAAGGCCCUUUCGGGGUACGACGAGCGGCGAACGGGUGAGUAACACGUGGGUGACCUGCCUUUAGUCUCUGGGAUAAGCCUGGGAAACUGGGUCUAAUACCGGAUAUGACUCCGCGGUGCAUGCUGUGGGGUGGAAAGCCUUGUGCGGCUGGAGAUGGGCCCGCGGCCUAUCAGCUUGUUGGUGGGGUGAUGGCCUACCAAGGCGACGACGGGUAGCCGGCCUGAGAGGGCGACCGGCCACACUGGGGACUGAGACACGGCCCAGACUCCUACGGGAGGCAGCAGUGGGGAAUCUUGCGC
rnacentral:rRNA from 1 species